rnacentral:rRNA from 1 species
GGCUUAACACAUGCAAGUCGAGGGGCAGCAUGGUCUUAGCUUGCUAAGGCCGAUGGCGACCGGCGCACGGGUGAGUAACACGUAUCCAACCUGCCGUCUACUCUUGGACAGCCUUCUGAAAGGAAGAUUAAUACAAGAUGGCAUCAUGAGUCCGCAUGUUCACAUGAUUAAAGGUAUUCCGGUAGACGAUGGGGAUGCGUUCCAUUAGAUAGUAGGCGGGGUAACGGCCCACCUAGUCUUCGAUGGAUAGGGGUUCUGAGAGGAAGGUCCCCCACAUUGGAACUGAGACACGGUCCAAACUCCUACGGGAGGCAGCAGUGAGGAAUAUUGGUCAAUGGGCGAGAGCCUGAACCAGCCAAGUAGCGUGAAGGAUGACUGCCCUAUGGGUUGUAAACUUCUUUUAUAAAGGAAUAAAGUCGGGUAUGGAUACCCGUUUGCAUGUACUUUAUGAAUAAGGAUCGGCUAACUCCGUGCCAGCAGCCGCGGUAAUACGGAGGAUCCGAGCGUUAUCCGGAUUUAUUGGGUUUAAAGGGAGCGUAGAUGGAUGUUUAAGUCAGUUGUGAAAGUUUGCGGCUCAACCGUAAAAUUGCAGUUGAUACUGGAUAUCUUGAGUGCAGUUGAGGCAGGCGGAAUUCGUGGUGUAGCGGUGAAAUGCUUAGAUAUCACGAAGAACUCCGAUUGCGAAGGCAGCCUGCUAAGCUGCAACUGACAUUGAGGCUCGAAAGUGUGGGUAUCAAACAGGAUUAGAUACCCUGGUAGUCCACACGGUAAACGAUGAAUACUCGCUGUUUGCGAUAUACUGCAAGCGGCCAAGCGAAAGCGUUAAGUAUUCCACCUGGGGAGUACGCCGGCAACGGUGAAACUCAAAGGAAUUGACGGGGGCCCGCACAAGCGGAGGAACAUGUGGUUUAAUUCGAUGAUACGCGAGGAACCUUACCCGGGCUUAAAUUGCAGAUGAAUUACGGUGAAAGCCGUAAGCCGCAAGGCAUCUGUGAAGGUGCUGCAUGGUUGUCGUCAGCUCGUGCCGUGAGGUGUCGGCUUAAGUGCCAUAACGAGCGCAACCCUUGUUGUCAGUUACUAACAGGUUCCGCUGAGGACUCUGACAAGACUGCCAUCGUAAGAUGUGAGGAAGGUGGGGAUGACGUCAAAUCAGCACGGCCCUUACGUCCGGGGCUACACACGUGUUACAAUGGGGGGUACAGAGGGCCGCUACCACGCGAGUGGAUGCCAAUCCCCAAAACCUCUCUCAGUUCGGACUGGAGUCUGCAACCCGACUCCACGAAGCUGGAUUCGCUAGUAAUCGCGCAUCAGCCACGGCGCGGUGAAUACGUUCCCGGGCCUUGUACACACCGCCCGUCAAGCCAUGGGAGCCGGGGGUACCUGAAGUGCGUAACCGCGAGGAGCGCCCUAGGGUAAAACUGGUGACUGGGGCUAAGUCGUA